rnacentral:rRNA from 1 species
GACGAACGCUGGCGGCGUGCCUAAUACAUGCAAGUCGAACGAACUCUGGUAUUGAUUGGUGCUUGCAUCAUGAUUUACAUUUGAGUGAGUGGCGAACUGGUGAGUAACACGUGGGAAACCUUCCCAGAAGCGGGGGAUAACACCUGGAAACAGAUGCUAAUACCGCAUAACAACUUGGACCGCAUGGUCCGAGUUUGAAAGAUGGCUUCGGCUAUCACUUUGG